rnacentral:lncRNA from 1 species
GCUGCUGAGGCGCGACCUCUCAGGGCUUCCUCACGUGGCCUAAACUCUGUUCCUGGUAAAGUGGUUUAAUGUGCUUGUACGAAAGCUCACUCAAGGGGAAAAAAAAAAAAAAAGACAGCAAGUGCUUUUUUAUCCUGUUCAAGGUUUCAAGACGCUCAAGUAGUUAAGUCUUUUCCUCUGAGUGAAAUGAAAGCCAACAGCAGGAGGAGAUCACCCGGGCAGAACCAUCUGUUUUCAGGUUUCCUUGUGUCCUAUCAGUAUCCCUGCCAGACGGGUUCCAAUGGUCACUUUCUUAUAACAGCACUGAUAUGCCAAUCGAGGCCUCAGGUCUCUGUUGUCUGCAAUGUUGUUGAGGAAAAUGGCUGAUGGAGAACAUCAGGAAGAUAGUAGUGAAUUUCUAUGUCUGCGUUUUGGACAUGUGAUCCUCCCAGGCUACAAGGAAGAAAGUUUGGUGGACAUGGCAAAAGUGGCAGCCUUGAGAUGUGCCUCAUAGACCUCUAACUACAAGGAGUGUGAGUAAUGAUUUUAAGCACAUGUUCUUGGUCUUUUUUUUUUUUUGUAUGUUUGUUUUUUUUUUUUUUGGCCAUUUAUAUGUCUUUUGUAGUGUCUGUUCACUUUUUUUUGCUCACUUCAAACUUGGGUGUCUUUUUUAUCUUAAUGACGUAUGCUAGUUUUUAGAUUUUUCAUGUUCUUUUUUAAAUUUCUCCAAUACAUUAUUUUUUUUCUACUGUACAGCAUAAAUUCUUUGUCAGAUAAGUAUUUAGAGAUGAUUUUUCUCCCAGUCUUUGAAUUGUUCUUAAUGGUAUUUUUUUUUGGAUGAUUUUCAUUUCACAAAGUCUAGUUUAACUUUUUUUCUUUUAUGGUUAGUACUUUUUGCAUUCUGCCCGGUGAAAUAUAAUGCAUCCUAAUUUCUUGAAAAUAGUCUUUUAAAUGUUUUAGAUUUUAGUCUCUAAAAAGUCAUUAAAGCUAUCAUUCAUCAUAAAUCAAUUUCAUAUGUAACAUUAGGUAAGUAUCAAGAUUCUCUCAAAUAUGUAGAUGUUUCAGAAUAAUUUUAUUGAAAAUGACCCCCCUCUCCCAACACCAUCACCAUUGCACACACACACUUUCCCAUUGAAUGGUAUUGGUCAAAAGCUAUUGAGCGCUUGUGUAUUUUUUAUGGACUUUAUUCUUUUCUAUUGACCUAUUUAUUUUCCUUUGCAUCAAUACCAAACUGUCUUAUUUACUGUAGCUUUAUAGUAAAUCUUAUAUAUGAUAGUGUAACUCCCCCAAUUUUGUUCUUCUUAAAAAUUUUCUUGGAUUUUCUAUAUCCUAACUAUUAUGAAUAUAUAAAUUUUAGAAUCAGCCUUUCAAUUCCGUAAAAAAAGCCCACUAAGAUUUUGAUUGGAUUUUCAUUGAAUCUUUAGAUCAAUUUGGAGAGAAGUGAUCUCCUAAAAUAUUGAAUGUUUAAAUAUAUUUAUAGGAUAAUUAUCUAUUCCUGCAUGAGAAGCAAAACUGACAUAGUAGAAAAACCAACUCAAGGUUACUGAGAACAGUCCAGAAAGAGUGUCAUAAAUAAAGAGAUGAUUAUCAUCUGAAAGAAGAUGAUAUAUGUGAAAAAAAUUUAAAAACAUAUAGCAUAUGGCAAAUAAAAUGCUUACGGGGAGAAUGGUACUAAUGGGACAGAAUCAACAUUCAAAUUCAUAGUAGAGCAUUUAUUAAGUUAAGCAAAUCAAUACAGUUAAUUAUGUUUUAGGAAAAACUGAUAGAGGAUAACUACAUCAAGAUAAGUUUAGGGAAGUUACUGAAUUUUGAGGACAGAGAAUAAUAUAUUAGACCUCUGGUCAACAUGGUGUGCUACACUAACAUAAGAAAUGCCACCCCUUUCAAAAACACAUGUUGAUAAAUUUAACAACAGAGUUUAAAAAUGCAUAUUAUUUCUUAAAAACAACAAGGAAAGGUCUUAGGAGCUAGAAAUAAAGAAGGAUUGGAAAGCUAUAGUUACAAGUGAGGGAAGCUGAAGCUCAAAGUUAUUAGAACUAGACCUGUGUUGCAGUGGCUAAGAUUCCAAGACCUGGAUUCAAAUCAGAGUGAAACCUAGGCCUGUGCUUGGCAGGAAGCUAGAACUCAGGAUCAUCAAGUGUGUCUAGCCCUUGAAAUAGAGGCUAGGAAAACUUCUUAUAGACUGGGAAGUGCUUGUAUGGUGUGGUGGGAAAAGAAUCACCCAUGAGAAGUCACAGUUCCAAAUCUGAAUUGCCAAAAAACUAGAGUGUAGAGUUCAAAUUUGCAUGUCUCAUGCAUUUUUAGCAAUUAUCAGUCCAAAAAUAAGCACACAUGAAUCUAAAACUGGUGAAAUACACAAGGUUCUAGUAAAAGCAUGUGAAAAAUCAUCCCAUGAAGACUUUUUCUCAAUGCGGUACAAGUAAACUUUCCAGGAAAUAGUUCACAGGGAAUGAUGGCACAGUAAAUAAUAAUAUGUAAUAAGAGUAAAUGAACAGAGAGUUAUAGUAAUGUACAAAAUGGCUUGAUUCACAUGCCAAGAAAAAUCUGUAUGAAAUGACCAAAGGACUAUUAUCCAUAUGUUAAAGAGAAUGAAAGAAGCAAUAUAAACUAUUAGACAAAAUCAGAAAAAAAAGGGAAAUUUAAAAAUACUAAAUAUAAAUUCCAGAAAUUAAAAACAUGUGAUUUUUGAAAUUAAAAUUAUAGUAUUUAUGACAAAGAAAAGAAUAUAUAUUGUUAAUGAGAGGAAUAUAUUUAGAAUACAAUACAGAGAAAUUAAAUGUUGGACUAUAGGAAGAAGAAAUGAGAAACCAUGGAAAUAUGGAGUGAAAGACUCAUGUUCAAGUUACAAAAAGAGAGUUGGGGAGAAAAAAAUGUUUGGAAACAAGUUUGAUGGUCUAGAAUUUUAGAAAAUAUAUAAGAACAUAGAUUUUUCAGACUGAAAAAAAAUGUCCUAGCUCCGAGAGGGACAAAUAAAAAGAAAUCCAUUUCUCAGAAAUUCCCAUUGUGGCUCAGUGAUAAGGAACCUGAUCAGUAUUCAUGAGGACUCUGGUUUGAUCACUGGUCUUGCUCACUGGAUUAAAGGAUCUGGCAUUGCUGUGAGCUGUGGUGUAAGUCACAGACAUGGCUUAGAUCUGGUGUUGCUGUGGCUGUGGCAUAGGCCGGCAGCUGCAACUCCGACUGUGACUCCUAGCCUUGGAACUUCCAUAUGACGUGGGUGUGGCCCUAAAACAGACAAAAAAAAAAAAAAAAAAAAAAAAAAAA